rnacentral:rRNA from 1 species
GUGAACGCUGGCGGUAGGCCUAACCCCUGCAAGUCGAACGGCAGCACCGUAAGAGCUUGCUCUUACGGGUGGCGAGUGGCGGACGGGUGAGGAAUACAUCGGAAUCUACUUUUUCGUGGGGGAUAACGUAGGGAAACUUACGCUAAUACCGCAUACGACCUACGGGUGAAAGCAGGGGAUCUUCGGACCUUGCGCGAUUGAAUGAGCCGAUGUCGGAUUAGCUAGUUGGCGGGGUAAAGGCCCACCAAGGCGACGAUCCGUAGCUGGUCUGAGAGGAUGAUCAGCCACACUGGAACUGAGACACGGUCCAGACUCCUACGGGAGGCAGCAGUGGGGAAUAUUGGACAAUGGGCGCAAGCCUGAUCCAGCCAUACCGCGUGGGUGAAGAAGGCCUUCGGGUUGUAAAGCCCUUUUGUUGGGAAAGAAAAGCAGCAGGUUAAUACCCCGCUGUUCUGACGGUACCCAAGGAAUAAGCACCGGCUAACUUCGUG